UUAACAUAUAUAAAAAAAACAUUAGAAUAACGGGUCAUCCCACCAUCCGCUAUCCCACUUUUGGGGUCUGACAGAUAUGGUCUAUCGUGAUUCAAAGCGCUGCUGCUGUUUUACAAAAAGUUAUUACAGAUAUGUGAAGGGAACUGGUUCCCUUUUGGCAAAACUGUCCAGGUUGCAAACCUACAUUCUUCUCCUGAAGAAUUUGAAUUUCCAGAGCACAUUAGUCUCAAGCAACGAUAUGCGUUACUAGGAAACAGUUUAAGCAUAGCAGUUGUUGCUCCCUUACUUCUGUAUCUUUUCACUGAACCUUGAAUGAUUUUUCAAUCGCGACAUCCAUUCAACAGAAGCAGAAAUUUCCUAGGUCUAUCUCCUAUAAUUUUGCUGUCAUAGUGAGAUCAUGUAACAGAAUGUGAUUUCUUGUUUCAAUCAUGAUGAUCCAACUCGUACAUGAGUUUGACCAUUUUUACUUCAGAACUAAUAUUUCUAAUGUAGAGUUCUGUGACCAUUCUUUCAAAAAUUGUCUAAUAUGUUGGGGCGAAAAAUGUAACUGAAAUAUGGAAGAGAUUCAAAAUGUACAUGUCAGGCAUCCUGUUGAAGAAAUGAUUGGAUCUUGGAUCAAAUUUGAAUGUAAACACAUUUGAGAAAAUAUGCAGUCAAAUUUAAGUGUGUGCUGAA